AUGCUGAGAAUUGAUAUUGGCACACCAAUCACCACAAUAAUGCAGAAUUUGAAGAAGAAAUAUGGAGUAGAGAUAUCAACCCAUAUGGCCUAUAGGGCUAGGAAACAAGCAUUGAAGGUUGUCCAAGGAGACCAGAGAGGUCAAUACACUAGGAUUAGAGAUUAUUUGCAGGCUGUUUUGGACACAAACCCAGGAAGUAGAAUUGUUGUGACCACUAAGCAUCUGCCAGAGCACCCAAGCAAGAACCCAAGGUUCCAUGGCCAGUUCUACUGUCUUAAUGCUUGCAAAGAAGGGUUUUUAAAUGGAUGUAGGCCAUUCAUAGGGGUAGAUGGUUGUUUUAUCAAGCUGUCAACAGGUCAGCAGAUCCUUGCUGCAACAGGAAGGGAUGGAAACAACAACAUAUACCCUAUAGCAUUUGGAGUUGUUGACAAAGAGGACACAGACAGCUGGACCUGGUUCUUAACACAACUGAAAGAUGCACUUGGUGGAGAAAGUGGAAAGUUUGGGUAUUAUACUAUCAUUUCUGAUAGGCAGAAGGGCCUUUUAAAUGCAGUAAACCAUGUUUUUCCCAGUUGUCCACAAAGAUUCUGCCUUAGACACAUAUAUCAGAAUUUCCAAACUGCUGGUUUUAGAGGUGAUGAAUUAAAGAAACACAUGGAUGCAGCUAGCUACUCUUAUACUAAGAAUGAACACCUAGCUGCAAUGAAUGAUUUGAAAAGAGAGUGUAAGGCAGCUUGGGCAUGGCUUGAUAAAGUACCAGUUCAUACAUGGGCUAGACCUGCAAUGGAUUUUACCUGCAAGACUGACCUAGUUGUGAACAACAUCAGUGAGUUGUUUAAUAAAAUGAUCCUAGAUGUUAGAGGGAAGCCAAUAAAGACCAUGCUGGAAGGAAUUAGGACUAAAUUGAUGGUCAAAUUUAACACCAAUAGAACUAAGACAGAGACAGCAAAUCGGGAGAUUUGCCCAACAUAUGCAGAGAUGUUAGAGGAGGCAAAGUACAACUUAAGGUGGUGCCAAUCUUUGAUGACUGGUCCUAACAUUUACCAAGUUAGUAGUGGAGAUAACACCUACUCAGUGAACUUGCUGCACAGAACAUGUGGAUGUAGGAAAUGGGAUAUGACUGCUAUGCCUUGCAAUCAUGCAGUAUCUGCAAUUGUGAAAGCUAAGUUGCAACCUGAAGACUUUGUUGAUGCUUUCUUCAAGAAGGCAAUGUGCAAAAAAGCAUAUGGCCAUAUCAUAUUUCCUGUCCCUGAUCUAAAUCUGUGGCCAAGGACAAGAACUCAGGACAUAGAGCCUCCAGUUUUCAGAGACAAAGUUGGGAAGCAACAAACAAAGAGGAGGAAAAACCCAUUUGAGAAGCCAGCACCAAGAGAUACAUCUAGGAUGGCAUCCAUUACUUGUAGCAACUGCAAACUUGUAGGGCACAGAUACACUGUGUGCUCCAAGCCCUUGAAACCAGCUCUUGCUAUGAGACAAAACCAGCAUCAGACAAACAGGUCACAUGCUUCUGCUUCACCUACAGCUGUUGCACCAACAAGGAAGAGGCCAUCUCCAUGUAUAGCAGAUGUUGGGACUGCUCCUCCCAGGAAGAAAGUUGCACCUGCUGCUACUACACCUACUGCUCCUCCAAGGAGGAGAGCUGCACCUGCAGCUACUGCACCUACUGCUCCUCCCAGGAGGUCUCCCAGGAAGAAUGCUACCCCAAAACCUACUGCUCCUCCAAGGAGGUCUCCCAGGAAGAAAACUACCCCAGCGGGUACAUCUUCUACAUCUGCUGCAGGCCAUAGGGGAACAUUUCAUGCUCCAAGACAGACUGGAAGGAAGAGGACAGUUUCCUACAAGAUGAAAGAGUACCUAUAUGCUUCUGGUAACUAG
rnacentral:rRNA from 1 species